AUCGUGUCCUGACUGCUGCGCCUCUGCCUUUUAAAUGUAGUAAGAGCCCCAAGGGAACCCAGGGCGAGCAGGGACUCAAGCAUCCCCUGCUUGCCCGUGGUCCCAACUGCUGCACCUUCACCUUGAGGACAUUUAAAAGGCAGAAGUGCAGUGGAGAUAGUGAGUGCUGCCCCAUCCCUUAUUAACUAAUCAAGAAGUCAAUGGAAACGCCAUUGACUACUUGAUUAACUGAUUAAUCGAAAUUUAACAUCCCUAAUUUGAAUACAUUCUAAUAGUGCAUUAAAUGACAUGAUUAGCAUUUAUUACAUGUAGUUCAUUCUCUCAUCCUCUCCCCAAGAAGGAAGCUGUGUGCGCAUUGCAGUGUUAUGUUUUGGUAUAGCUUUUUAAUAAGAACAUGCUGCUUUGUGUUUAUACUGCAGAAGGCAAGGUUGAAAAAAUGGACUUUAUACUUAGAAGGGGUGAUGAGUUUUGUCAUGGUCCUUAAUUCUGAUGGGAGUUUGUUUCACAGUCUGAGAGAGGUCCCCUUACUGCACAGGUGCCCUGGCCUCAGGUUGCGUGCUUUGAAGACGAGGAACAAAAACUUGAACAUGACUUGAAAUUAUGGUAGCACACUGUAGAGAGCAGAGGACAGGUUUGAUGUAGCCGUGGUGGCCUGCGUUGCUGAGGAGAGGAGACAUCAACUGCUGAUGCCAAAACCCUUCAGAUGCAGAACAGCAUCAUCAAUAAAGAAGUAGCUACCACCUUUCUGUUCAGCAGCUCCCCUUUAUGGCAGAGACCUAUGUCUUUUUGUCCCUGAGGAAGUCCCUGCCACAGAGACACAACUGCUCCUUUCUCUACUGCUAAUGUAGAGAACAGCUAAUAACAUCUGGCAGGUAUCUUCUGGCUCGAAAUGUUAAGUCUUUCUAUGAUAUGUUAUCUGAUACAAUUUGCCUGAGAGUAGUAGUUUCUACAGGUUGUGUCUUGUAUUGAAGAUGGAGGGUAGGGAUGUGAAUGUUUAACUAGUUAAUUGGUAAGCCUCGCCCUUAAUGGGUAAGGCUUACUGGUUCCAGUUAACUGGUGGGGGCUGGAGCAGUCUGUCACAGGCUUGGGGCAGCUCCAGUCCGGUAAGGUCUGCUGUGGGCAAAGCCCUUUCAAAACAGGCCUGUUGAAUUGGUUUACUCAGGGGUUCCCAAACUUUUUACUUUAGGUGGAACCUAUGUUUUCUUUUUCAGUACUGUUUUUU